CUAUCCAUGGGAAGAUCUACUAUCCCUAUAUAUUACGAGUUCUUGUAAUAUAUAGGGAUAGUAGAUCUUCCCAUGGAUAG
rnacentral:sRNA from 1 species